rnacentral:lncRNA from 1 species
AGAGGAUGUAGAAAGGAAAAGUAUGCAAAUUAAUUAAACUAGAUAUUAAAUAAAAUAAUAUUAAGUAAAUCUUUUAAAAGAUUUAGUUGUUGUUAUUUUAAAAAAAUAUUUAAGAGAGAAUAAGAGAGGAAAUCUUAAUGGUUUUAGAUAUAAACUGAGAGAUUUUAUCAAAACUAAAAGGAUAGAGAUAAAAUAGAAGGAGAUAAAAAAGGAGAAGAGUAA